UUUAUUGAGAGUUUGAUCCUGGCUCAGGACGAACGCUGGCGGCGUGCCUAACACAUGCAAGUCGAACGGAGUUAUUACCUUAAUUCUUCGGAAAGCGGGUUUUAACUUAGUGGCGGACGGGUGAGUAACGCGUGAGCAACCUGCCCUUCGGAGGGGGACAACAGUUGGAAACGACUGCUAAUACCGCAUGACAUAUACUUAAGGCAUCUUAGGUAUAUCAAAGAUUUAUCGCCGAAGGAUGGGCUCGCGUCUGAUUAGCUAGUUGGUGGGGUAACGGCCUACCAAGGCGACGAUCAGUAGCCGGACUGAGAGGUUGAACGGCCACAUUGGGACUGAGAUACGGCCCAGACUCCUACGGGAGGC
rnacentral:rRNA from 1 species